CACACGACUCUCGGCAACGGAUAUCUCGGCUCUCGCAUCGGUGAAGAACGUAGCGAAAUGCGAUACCUGGUGUGAAUUGCAGAAUCCCGUGAACCAUCGAGUCUUUGAACGCAAGUUGCGCCCGAGGCCAUCCGGCCGAGGGCACGCCUGCCUGGGCGUCACGC
rnacentral:rRNA from 1 species